UCGCGGCGUGGGUGAUGGUGUUGAUGCCCGACAGGCACAGCUUGUUGAGCGUGACGGCCGGAACGUUCAUGGGGAUGCCUGCCUUAGCUGCGGCC
rnacentral:tRNA from 1 species